rnacentral:lncRNA from 1 species
CGGAGCUAGAUUAAUGUCUUGUGUUUUUUUUAAUUCGUUCCGAAUUUGCUUAUACCACGUGUGUUACACGUUGAAACUUUUAAAUCAAAAAAGGUCUUUCUAAUUUCUUUUCUUGUCGUUGGUGGUAACUACGGGUUCUUAUAGGUGAAAUGAUAAAAUUUAGAAAGGAAAUGUGGAAUAUGUCAAAGCGACAACAACCCGACCAUAAAGCAGACA